CACGUAGGGGUGCGAGCGUUUGUCCGGAAUUAUUGGGCGUAAAGAGCUCGUAGGCGGUGUGUCGCGUCGGCCGUGAAAACCUGCAGCUUAACUGUGGGCGUGCGGUCGAUACGGGCAUCACUGGAGUUCGGCAGGGGAGACUGGAAUUCCUGGUGUAGCGGUGAAAUGCGCAGAUAUCAGGAGGAACACCGGUGGCGAGGGCGGCUUUCUGGACGACAACUGACGCUGGAGACGCGAAAGCCGUGGGGAGCAAACAGG
rnacentral:rRNA from 1 species